GAUGUAGGAAAUACUAGGGAUUUUAGGACCACCUAUUUUAUGAAAAAAAUAUAGGAAGUGGAGUUUUAUUUUAUUUAGAAUUUUGCGUGAUUUGUGAUUCCUAAAUCCUAAUUAGAAUUAGAUUUAGGGGUUCCUAAUCCUAAUGUUAGUAAAAUUAUAAACACCUUAUAUAUAGGCCAAGGUUCUCUAUUUGAUAGAUUUUUGAUAUGAUUGACAAUUGCUUUGAGCUAAUAAACUGAGAAUGUGUUUCUCUACCUUUAAGAUAUGUUUCUCACCCUCGUUCCUCAUAAAUCUACUGGUUCUACAUCAAUAUUAUUUCUCCAAAAUCUGAUUCUCUCCUUCAUACUCUAGAUGGAAUGUUGUUUACAUGUUAACUAAAUCAAAUUUAGCUUUCUCCAAAAACGCCUCAUUUGAAAAGAGGGGCAAAAGUUUUGAAAUUUCCAUUGAUAACAACAGCAUUUAUGCCCCAUUUCAAUCCACCCACAGAAUUUCAGUUCUAGUGCUGGAUCUAUCCUUAUCUUUCUACUGCUCAAAAACCCCAAUUCCCACCUUUUUUGUCUUUUGAUGAAUCGAAAAUUUGUUUAAAACAGAAAAGGAAAUUCAAUGCAUG
rnacentral:misc_RNA from 1 species